rnacentral:rRNA from 1 species
GCCCAGCCGUAAACUUUUACUUACACCUCAAUCGCCUGGGAACUACGAGCAAAGCUUAAAACCCAAGGGACUUGACGGUACCCCAUAUCCACCUAGAGGAGCCUGUCCUAUAAUCGAUAACCCCCGCUUAACCUCACCAUUUUUAGCUUAUCAGCCUGUAUACCUCCGUCGUCAGCUUACCACGUGAGCGCCUAUUAGUGAGCUUAAUGCCCUUACGCCAACACGUCAGGUCAAGGUGCAGCAUAUGAAAUGGGAAGAGAUGGGCUACACUAUCUAAUUUAGAUUACACGAAAGACUAUAUAUGAAACCUAGUCGAAAGGCGGAUUUAGAAGUAAAGAAAGACCAAAAUGCUUCCUUUAACUCGGCACUGGGGUGUGUACACACCGCCCGUCACCCUCUUCAAAGCUUUAAUGUAGUUUGUAACCCCCCUUAGCGCGCUAGAAGAGGCAAGUCGUAACAUGGUAAGUAUACCGGAAGGUGUGCUUGGAAA